AAUCCAUAAUGUGGGCAUCUUUGUAUUAGCUUUUUAAAAUGCUCCCAAGCUCCGUGAAAGCUCUCUUCUUCUAAUUAUUUGAACGUUGCGAUCUCUCUUCUCAAUU